rnacentral:rRNA from 1 species
AGAGUUUGAUCAUGGCUCAGGAUGAACGCUGGCGGCGUGCCUAAUACAUGCAAGUCGAGCGGUAACAGGCUCUCACAGUUUGCUUAAGUUCCAAGUGUCAAAGCUUGGAUGACAAAAUUACACGGAAUGGCCGGCUAGCCUGGAAGUGUAACGGCGUUUAUUGAGCAGAGUGUGAGAGUGCUGACGAGCGGCGGACGGCUGAGUAACGCGUAGGAACGUACCCCAAAGUGAGGGAUAAGCACCAGAAAUGGUGUCUAAUACCGCAUGUGAUCUUCGGAUUAAAGCUUCGGCGCUUUGGGAACGGCCUGCGUAAGAUUAGCUAGUUGGUGAGGUAAUGGCUCACCAAGGCGACGAUCUUUAGCUGGUCUGAGAGGAUGAUCAGCCAGACUGGGACUGAGACACGGCCCAGACUCCUACGGGAGGCAGCAGUAGGGAAUUUUCCACAAUGGGCGAAAGCCUGAUGGAGCAACGCCGCGUGCAGGAUGAAGGCCCUUGGGUUGUAAGCUGCUUUUAUAUGUGACGAAUAUGACGGUAGCAUAUGAAUAAGGAUCGGCUAACUCCGUGCCAGCAGCCGCGGUCAUACGGAGGAUCCAAGCGUUAUCCGGAAUUACUGGGCGUAAAGAGUUGCGUAGGUGGCAUUGUAAGUCUGUAGUGAAAGCGUGGGGCUCAACCCCAUACACAUUAUGGAAACUGCAAAGCUAGAGGAUGAGAGAGGUUAUUGGAAUUCCCAGUGUAGGAGCGAAAUCCGUAGAUAUUGGGAGGAACACCGAUGGCGUAGGCAGAUAACUGGCUCAUUCCUGACACUAAGGCACGAAAGCGUGGGGAGCAAACGGGAUUAGAUACCCUCGUAGUCC